UUUCUAACUUUCCCUGUUCUCAUUCUUAUGUUAUAGGAGUGCAUCGGUGUAGGGUUGGAUUUAGACCCAGCAUGACUGACCUUUGUCAGCUAGGUUUUCAGCCUAGAGUCUUGACUUGGUCCCGGUAAUCGAUUCAGAUCAUCUAGGGUCAAAUCAGGUAGUUCAAAAACACUGGAUCCAGGGCUAAUGAACAUAGUUGAAUUCUGAUCAAGGGAAAAGCUCAGCAUGUAUGAUAGUAGGAAAACCUACAGCUUAAUGAACACUAAAAAGACUGCUAAGGUGCAAUUAUAGGAGGAUCUCUGGUUUGUUCUCCCUUCCUGGAGUGUGUCUCUGUACCUUCCUUUCAUUUUCUCAAUGAAAGUGGGUUAGGCUGCCUUACUCUUUCCCUCAAAACAGAUAGGAAGGUCCAGAAUUGAUCAUUGAAAUUCCAAUGGAUGGAGACAGUAGAUUUUAGGCAUUGAGUAAUUCUCUAUAUGUCAAUCAUGCUUCUUAUCUUGCUUAAAAGAAUCCUCUUGAGGAAUUGAAAACUUCCUGAAUUGCUUGAUCCAUGACCUCUCUUACCACACCUGCAUCAUCCGUAUGCUCCUUAAAAGGGCAACUAUCAAACCCCCUCUUUCAGCAUACUUCAUCAUCUCAUUUGCUUGAAAAGUCUGCUCCAUCAAAAUGUUGAACUCUCAUCUCAAGCCAUCUCUCCAAUAUCACUACUAACUCAAUAUCAUGACCCUCCAUAUCAAAAAUGCAUCUGUUUCCAAGCAUUUUAUAUAAAAGAAUGAUAGAAAACAACUAUCUUAUCUAAACCAACAAGGAAGCCAUUUAAAAAGAGGAGGAUGGGA
rnacentral:lncRNA from 1 species